rnacentral:misc_RNA from 1 species
UGGCUCUGGCAUCGAUGAAGAACGCAGCGAAAUGCGAUAAGUAAUGCGAAUUGCAGAUCUCUAGUGAGUCAUCGAAUCUUUGAACGCACAUUGCGCCCCCUAGUAUCCUGGGGGGCAUGCCUGUCCGAGCGUCACUACAACAUUCAAGCUCUGCUUGGCGUUGGGACCACGCGGUUUUACUUCCGCGGGCCCUGAAAAUUAGUGGCAGGACCGAACUGGAACCCUAGCGAAGUAACUAUUACAGCGCUAUGGGAUGCCGGAACGGCCCCUGGCCUAACCUAUAUUUUUUAUAAUGUUGACCUCGGAUCAGGUAGGAAUACCCGCUGA